AGGCGGGGGCGGGGGUGGGGGUAUGUGAAGUCGGAAAGACGCUUUCCACUGGAAAAAGUGUCCGUGAAACGUAAGCUUUAACCCUGAAAUGCUGCGUGCUCGUGGUAAGACAGGCCAGAGCAAGCUGGAGGAUCAGACACGCAGCGAGCGGCACUGAAAUUGGAAUCUAUCUGUGGGUGAAGGAAGUUUCUGUUUGGCUGGUUUGGACAAGACCGUGAACAAUGGUCGAGUUGGUGACCUCUCCAACAGUCAACGCCAUAUCCACACAUGUGCUGGAGAUCUGGGCAAUCGUGCUAGUGAUCCUGGGUGCGGUCAUCCUGAUGAGUUUUCUCAUGUUUGGCCCCGCCUUGUCCAUUAUCAUCUACCGAGUAUGGCGUUACCCACCACCAAGGAAUGGGGCAUAACCACUGAGGGACCGGCGUUGGCAGCAUCAUGACCUACGACCUCAGCAGCAUGACCCGUGACCCACGGACCAUUCCGACUGGGUGAGCUUGAGGAAACAGGGACUCUUUGCACAACAUUUCCACAGGGAAGGUGAAUUCUGACAAUUGACAAUAUUGAGACAAAGAACUUUGUCUUGUUGAUCAAUGGACAACUGCAAGAAUCUCAGGAAGAUAAUGUUUCAUUCAGUAUUUGUGUGCCAAGCCUCGUCUGCCUGAUGCUAUGCCCAGACUUUCUGCUUUCCAUAUUGUGAUCCUGACGUAGUCAACUUAGUUACUCAAAUGAAGAAAGGCAGAAGCUUGGAGAUGGAGCGGGUUCAUUGUCUGGUCAAUCUCUUGGGGCCUGGAUUGGGACUUCACUCGGUCUCUUCACAUAGCUACGUGCAGACUCUGAGUUACCAUGAGCCCAGAGAGUCUCAGCCUAGAUCCUAAUGGCCAUUCACCAUUGGCUUCCAGUUUCUCAUAGCUUUGAAUUGAAUCCUCAUUGUCAGUAUGGAGGGAAUUGGAAAUUAAAUGGAAGAUCACUGCAGUCCCAAGCACUUGUUCAGGCUGCAUGUAAGCUUCAUCCUCUUAGCAGUGUACAGGAAGCUUCACUCUGUCUCCUAUCCAGUGAUGUAUCUGGCCUGGGAGUGUUUGAUGGGGACAAUAUAGAAGAGGCUCUACUUUCAGUUUAAAAGAACAGAGGCAACUUUACAUUGUACCUAACCCCUGUACUGAACGUGGCCUGGGAGUGUUUGAUGGGGACAGCGCAGAUGAAGAUUUGCUUUCAGUUUAAAAGAGUAGAAGGAGCUUCACUUUCCGGUUAAAAGAGUAGAGGAAGCUUUACCUGUAUUUUAUCUCAGGUUGUACCUGUCCUGGGAGUAUUUGAUGGGGACACUAUAGCGGGUGCUUUAGUUUCAAUGUACCUUCAGAUUAAAAGAGUGGAACCCUGUGUAUUUUAUUGAACCCUGUGCUAUCCCUGAGCUGCAAGUGUUUGAUGGGAACAGUGUCGAGGAAGCUUUACUUUCUGAUUAAAAAGAGAAGAGAGACCUUUACUCUAUAUCUAACCUCAUGCUGUAUGUGUUCUGGGAGCGUUUGAUGAGGACAGUGUAGAGAAAGCUUUAUUUUCAGUUUAAAAUAGUAGAGGAGACUUUACUCUGUAUUUAACCCUGUGCUACCUCUGUCCUGGGAGUCUUUGACGUUGAUGGUGUCAAGGGAACUUUAGUUUCAGUUUUAAAGAGUCGAAGGAACUUUUCUCCGUAUCUAACCCUGUUCUGUCCCUGCCCUGGAACUGUCUGAUAGUGACAGCGUAGAGGCAGCUUCACUCUGUAUCUAACCUGGUGCUGUAUCUGUUGUGGAGAAUAUGAAAGGGACAGUGUCGAGAGGUUUUACUCUGUGUCUAACUUCAAGUGGCUCUUGCCCUGGGAAUAUUUGAUGAGGCAGUGUAGAGGUAGCUUUACUUUCCAUUUAAAAGGUUAGAGGGAGCUUUACUUUCCGUUUAAAAGAGUAGAGGGUUGGAAGGGACAUUAUAGAAUAAGCUGUACUUUCUAUCUAACCCUGUCUGGCUGUGGUCCUGGGAGUGUUUGGUGGCGACAGUGUAUAGAGAGGGAGCUUUACUCUGUAUCUAACCCCGAGCUGUUCCUGUCCUGGGAGUAUUUGAUGGGGACAGUGCAGAGGUAGCUUUACUCUGUAUCUAACCCUGUGCUGUUCCUGUCCUGGGAGUGUUUGAUGGGGACAGUGUAGAGGUAGCUUUACUCUGUAUCUAACCCCGUGCUGUUCCUGUCCUGGGAGUGUUUGAUGGGGAUAGUGUAGAGGGAGCUUUACUCUGUAUCUAACCCCGUGCCGUUCCUGUCCUGGGAGUGUUUGAUGGGAACGGUAUAGAGAAAGCUUUACUCUGUAUUUCACCCUGUACUGUCCCUGUCCUGGGAGUGUUUGAUGGGGAUAGUGUAGAGAAAGCUUUACUCUGUAUCUGACCCCAUGCUGUACCUAUCCUGGGAGUGUUUGAUGGGGAUAGUGUAGAGAAAGCUUUACUCUGUAUCUGACCCCAUGCUGUUCCUAUCCUGGGAGUGUUUGAUGGGAACACUGGGUGCCUGCAUUGGAAAGUGUCCAUGUUCAAGGAUCAUCCCUGUAUGUGAUUCUGGAAAACAUACUUUCAAUAAAAUCAAUAUUCAGCGAAUAAA